rnacentral:rRNA from 1 species
GGAGACUGCCGGUGAUAAGCCGCGAGGAAGGUGGGGAUGACGUCAAGUCCUCAUGGCCCUUACGGGCUGGGCUACACACGUGCUACAAUGGCGGUGACAAUGGGACGCUAAGGGGCAACCCUUCGCAAAUCUCAAAAAGCCGUCUCAGUUCGGAUUGGGCUCUGCAACUCGAGCCCAUGAAGUUGGAAUCGCUAGUAAUCGUGGAUCAGCAUGCCACGGU